AGCGAACGCUGGCGGCAUGCCUAACACAUGCAAGUCGCACGGGGGGGCUUCGGCCUCCCAGUGGCGGACGGGUGAGGAACGCGUAGGGACCUGUCGAGGGGUGGGGGAUAACCGCGGGAAACUGCGGCUAAUACCGCAUGACGCCGCGGCGUGACAGCCGGGGCCAAAGGCGAAAGCCGCCCGCCGAGGGGCCUGCGUCCGAUUAGCUGGUUGGCGGGGUAGCGGCCCACCAAGGCGUCGAUCGGUAGCUGGUCUGAGAGGGUGAUCAGCCACACCGGGACUGAGACACGGCCCGGACUCCUACGGGAGGCAGCAGUGGGGAAUAUUGGACAAUGGGCGCAAGCCUGAUCCAGCAAUGCCGCGUGGGUGAAGAAGGUCUUCGGAUUGAAAAGCCCUUUCGGCGGGGACGAUGGUGACGGUACCCGCAGAAGAAGCCCCGGCUAACUUCGUG
rnacentral:rRNA from 1 species